GUAAUAAUUGAUUUUUGUUUGAUUAAGAGUGCAACAAUAUCAGCACACACACGCACACACACACACACACACAUAUUGCAG
rnacentral:sRNA from 1 species